rnacentral:lncRNA from 1 species
AACAGGAUGCCACAUAAAUCCAAUUUUCCCUGAGGAUGCAGCAAAAGUGGUAAGGGAAGUACAACUUUGAAGUUAAUCAUCGGAAGUUUCAAGUAGUAUAUUGGGGAUGCGGAUGCAGCACUUUCACUGAGAAACAAGCAUGUAUAGAGCGUUAACAAAACAAGCAUGUAUAGAGCGUUAACAAAAUAAUCUUACUACUCUUCUUGAGUGCCAUUUGGUGCUCAGAGUUGGUAUGUUAGAAAUUGGUCUGAACUGCCUGCCUAACUCCUGAUAUAAAAGAUCGCUGAGAUGGAUUUGAUUUUUCUUUGCUCUCCUGUUACUCGUUCCCUUUCAGAAAGGAAAUAAUUUAGGGUAGGAAAAACAACUCAAUGCCUGAUAAUGCAUGUAGCAUGGUUUUUGCUGCUUUGGAUUUUUUCAAAAAAAAAA